rnacentral:lncRNA from 1 species
GGAGGCCAGGAGUCCCACAGGCACUGGAAGCACAGAGCCUUGGAAUCUGCAGAGAUCAGCACCAGGACAGGAUGGUUACAGUGGAAGCAGAGCUGGGUAGGGAAGCAGAAAGAAGUGGCUAAACAAAUGUGAUUUUGAGGCUAAAAGGGGGAAAAGCGGAGCCUGAUGGCACCUCUCAGUCACUUGCUCUGCAUUUGUGUGUACAGAACAGCAAGGCAGAGCCAGAAGCGGAGCUGCAUGAAGCUCAGAGCGACAUUAUGGCAGCAAAGAGGAGGAAUGAAGACAUCCAAGAGGAGAAGGAUCUGCAGAGGGGCAAUCAACAAAACCAGGUGGAAGUGUCGCCAUCCUACCUGGCAGCCUGCAGAGAGUUCCAGCAAAUGACGGGCAACCAAGAGCCCCGAGGCUGGCAUGAGGCCCAGGAACUGUACCAUCCAGAGAUGCUGCAGGAUAAGAACGUCCCGAGAAAGGUGCAGAAAAAGAGAAUUUCAUGGCAGGAAGUAGAACAUUAGAAUGAGGAGCUGCAAAUGUAUCUGCAGACCUAAGAGGGGGAAAGGAGUCCUUGGGAGGAAGUGGAGCGGUUGUUGCUGCAGUCAUCCUUUAGAACAAGAAACUGACUAUGAACUCCAGUAAAACCAGCCUUCUGUUUUGACCAUUUCGUUUCACAAGUGGACAUCCAAAGCAAUCCAGUUGAAGAGCUCUGCAUGUGGCUGACAGCAGCUUCCUAAGGGCUUGCAUUUCAAAUGGCAAUCUCUCUUGCGUUUCUGGGCAAUCUCUGCCACACCUUCCUGACAUAAACUCAUUUCUUGUCUCAGAUCUACACUGAUGCUGAACCUACUGAACCUGCUGCAGCAGCAGCAGCACCGUCCCAAGGAGCCUUUGCUCCCCAGCCAAAGACGUGGAGCUCGAGCACUUGGUUCACUUCCCGUGCUGACCCAGCUGCUGCUCAGCAACAGGAGAUGGCGAAUGACUCCCUGGAGCAACAGAGUACGUCUUGUAUCUUUCUUAUCUGAGGGACAGUGUGCACGUGUGCACAUGUCAGCAUAGCUGUACCAAAGGGUUCUCAGUUUACUGUCACAGAAGUGCUGGCAGUGCUCCGAGGCAGCAAGAGAGAGCUCUGGGUAUUCCUGUUGCCUCUGAGGGCAGCUUAGACUGGCUGGAGUUUGCCUGGGUUUCCCUCUCUGCCAAAUGCAGAAGCGGGGAUUGUUCCUGGAUCAGCAGAAGGCUGUGACUGCUUGAGUCCUAAGCAUUGGCAGAAGCCCUGCUGAGAUCAGUCUCUAGGAGAACACAUCAAGCCCUUUGUGAUUCUGCAGCACAACCCAAUUAAUCUCCUUCUUGCCCAUAACAGCUGCCAGUGCUGUGCUAUCAGAUAAGACCUGGUAGGUUGAGAAGAGAGCCCAGUGGAUUCUGUGUCUACCAUCACCUGUUGGGACAAAAAAGGGCACUGAUCUGUGCCUCGGUGUGGCUGAUCUCAAAG